GGGUCAGUAGGUUGGUCGUGCCACCGGUACGUACUGGCCUCACUGAUUCCUCCUUCCUGAAGAACCGUAAUGCCAUUAAGUUGGUGUUGCGGGGAAACAGGACUGUUACUUUGAAAAAAUUAGAGUGUUUAAAGCAAGCUAACGCUUGAAUACAUUAGCAUGGAAUAAUGAAAUAGGACGAUCGAUCCUAUUUUGUUGGUUUCUAGGAUUGACGUA
rnacentral:rRNA from 1 species